rnacentral:rRNA from 1 species
GUGGGGAAUAUUGGACAAUGGGCGCAAGCCUGAUCCAGCCAUGCCGCGUGAGUGAUGAAGGCCUUAGGGUUGUAAAGCUCUUUCAGUAGGGAAGAUAAUGACGGUACCUACAGAAGAAGCCCCGGCUAACUUCGUGCCAGCAGCCGCGGUAAUACGAAGGGGGCUAGCGUUGUUCGGAUUUACUGGGCGUAAAGCGCACGUAGGCGGAAUGUUAAGUCAGAGGUGAAAUCCUGGAGCUCAACUCCAGAACUGCCUUUGAUACUGGCAAUCUCGAGUCCGGAAGAGGUGAGUGGAACUCCUAGUGUAGAGGUGGAAUUCGUAGAUAUUAGGAAGAACACCAGUGGCGAAGGCGGCUCACUGGUCCGGUACUGACGCUGAGGUGCGAAAGCGUGGGGAGCAAACAGGAUUAGAUACCCGGGUAGUCC